rnacentral:rRNA from 1 species
UACGUAGGCAGCAAGCGUUGUUCGGAAUUACUGGGCGCAAAGAGUGUGUAGGCGGUGUUCUAAGUUUGUCGUGAAAUCUCCCGGCUUAACUGGGAGGGUGCGGCGAAAACUGGAAUGCUAGAGGAUGGGAGAGGUAAGCGGAAUUCCUGGUGUAGCGGUGAAAUGCGUAGAUAUCAGGAGGAACACCUGUGGUGUAGACAGCUUACUGGACCAUUUCUGACGCUGAGACACGAAAGCGUGGGUAGCAAACAGG